rnacentral:tRNA from 1 species
GUUUUUAUAGUUGAAGUACAACAGUGGUUUUUCAGAUCAUUGGUCUUGGUUAAAGUCCUAGUAAAAAUU